rnacentral:tRNA from 1 species
CAAAAAGUAGUUUAAUUUAAAAUAAAGGUUUUGGAAAUCUUUGAUAUUUCAAAAGAAUCUUUUUGA